CUGAGAGCAGGAGGGAAAACUUCAGUUAAGGAGGGAAGAAAGGUGCAAGAGAGUGACGGAUAGCUUAUAGAGCUUGUUUAAAGCAGUGUAAGAAUUCGACGCUGAGAAGAAUGCAGCAGAUAAACAGGGCAGGUGUUGAUGAUGCAAAUGAAAUAGAUGACAGAUGGCCAUUGCUGGGCAGGCCCGAAUAACAUCACUGAUAAUGCACAGAAUAGGGGAUGAUGUGGGAGUGAGCCCUACUCCUUUUGCUUGCCUCCUGCUUGCACGAUUUACUGAUGAAUUUUUGAUUUCUGGAAGAGGUGCUUGUGACAUGUUUCUCGGAUGUCAAAACAACUCAGGCAGCCUUGGACAGUAUGCACCUUGUGUUGGUGUCAGUGAAGGUGCCAUUUGGUCUUCACCCUCAGGCGUCAAAAUAUCUUGGACUGACCCUGAUAUUCCACCUGUUAAUAAUGAGAGGUAUC